AGACACCUUAUAGGGCCCCAGAGAUGUUACUAAAACCUUGGGGUCACCUAAUUGGAUGGAAGCCAAAAGGUCCCGCCUGGGCCAUAAGGUAGAAAAAGAGAGAACAAAGGAACCACGAGGCUUUUGUGAACGUGUUUCUACCAGGAUCAGACCUAUGUACCUGGAUCGGAUUUUCUGUUUAUUGUUUUUCCUUUUAUUAAACCUUUCUGUUUCUAACACUGCAGCAGAAGCCAUCCUGCUCAUUAUUUGCCUCCAAAGGUAAUAGCUAAGCUAUCCUUGGUGUAUUAGGUUCCCUUUUAAGGGCUCAUAAAACCCUGGCCCGACAAAACAGAACCUAAUACUGGAGUGUCACAAUGUUCCCCUUGUUCUGCAGUGUCACAAUGGCCCCAUGCUUCCAUGAGGCCUUGCAAUGUCACAAUGGCUUCAUGCUCCCACAAAGCCCUGAUGUGUCACCAUGGCCCCUCGGCUCCAUGCGCCCUCACUGUGUCACAAAGGCUCCUCUGUGACACUGUGGGCUCCACAAGGUUACCAUGGACCCUUGACUCCUUGGGGCCCCUGAGUUUCACAACAGAGACCGUCCUGGAUUGCCAAGCAAAUUACAUCUGCUGAUAACAGGCUACUGAAUGUCACUGCAUGACUGAUAAGAACUACAGCAUCCCAUUGGGAGAUGCUAUGCCCAGAGGGAGGAGCCAACUAUUCCUACCCAGAUAUAAUCUUGAGUUUCUGGAACACCAGCAUGGCUUUCACCACUGGAUUUUCCCAGAGGAACAGCAGCUGUCUCUUCUUCCACUGGAUCUUCAGAGGAAGACUACGCCUUUCUACAGCAUCCCUGCUCCAACAGAACCACACCUGACACUCCAGGAGGACUGCAGCCACAAUUCCAACUGGACUGCUACCAACACCCUGACCAACAGGGUGUCAGGUUGUGUUGUGACUCUGUCAGUGUUGUUUUAGUCCACUGCAUUGUUUAUUUUAUAUUUUUAUUUUCUUCCCUAGUAAAGAACUGUUAUUCCUGCUCCAAUA